rnacentral:rRNA from 1 species
CCCGCUGAACUUAAGCAUAUCAGUAAGCGGAGGAAAAGAAACUAACAAGGAUUCCCCUAGUAGCGGCGAGUGAAGCGGGAUCAGCUCAAAUUUUAAAUCUCAGACAGCAAUGUCUGCGAAUUGUAUUCUAUAGAAUGAGUGUUACCGAUAGGAUGCAAUCACAAGUUGCCUGGAAUGGUAUGCCAGAGAGGGUGAGAGCCCCGUGGUGAUUGUAGAAUAUUUCUACACAUUCAUUCGACGAGUCGAGUUGUUUGGGAAUGCAGCUCAAAGUGGGUGGUAAAUCUCAUCCAAGGCUAAAUAUUGGCAAGAGACCGAUAGCGAACAAGUACCGUGAGGGAAAGAUGAAAAGAACCUUGAAAAGGGAGUUAAACAGUGCGUGAAAUUGUUAAAAGGGAAACGAUAGUGGUUAGUGUUUGAUAUAGUCCUGCGAGUAUGGCUUUGGUUGUAUUCAAUGUCUAUGUCAGAGUCAACGCUGGUUAUGUUGGUUGGAUAUGUUUGGGAAAAAGAUGGACACUUUCGAGUGUCUUUAUAGUUUCUCAAUACUGCAAUUGAUGUGACUGGACGAUGCAGAGUAAUGCUUUCAAAGGGUUUGUUUGUGUAUGAGCUUGUUCAGCACGCUGAUCAAUUUCAUUCAUAUUCCAUCUCUUGAUCUCGGACUUUGCUGUUGACAAAAUGACCUCUAACGACCCGUCUUGAAACACGG